CAAAAGCCGUCUGGAGAGCCGCUGCAACCCACUACCGGGCCUGCAGCGCACCGAAGGAGCAAACCGCAGCCCGGGUGGGAUGGCGGUGAAUCUCUCAGGUACCAAGGACAGGGGGAGCGGC
rnacentral:ncRNA from 2 species